rnacentral:tRNA from 1 species
ACCAGCAUAGUGUAGUGAUUAGAGCAUUGGGCUAUGAUUCCGAAAAUCAGGGUUUAAAUCCCUGUUCAGGCA